UGUCUUAACCAAAACUCCUUCCUGCUAAACGAAAAUCAUGAAGUUCUUCUGUCAAUUACCAUGCCAUUACCGCAAGUCCCGAGUCGUGAAAUGCAUCCUCGCCAGUGGCCCACGGAAUCACAUGGGAGACCGAUCUUGAGCCUCGAACUUGAGUCGAGAAGUGCACUUAUGUCAAUGCCGCAUUAAAUAACUAAAUCAAGCUCAAACAUGGGCUCCUCAGCGAGCUUGUCCCACCAAGAUGCAGUGGCACUGGGCAGUGGAAUGGGGCGGCAUGGCAUACCCUAUAGGGCGACAAACAUCGAAGGCUGCGGCAGCAAAUAACCAUAAUGGUGUUUAUCCACAAGUUCAUUUCGCUGUUUAAAAAUGCCUCCGAAUUCAGCCCCGACACAAUAAACAAGCCAACUGGAUGCGAGAUGCCAGUUGCGAGAUGCCAUCGGCCGCGGCGCCCCAAACAUUUCGGUGUGUUGUGAGUGUUUUUCUUUUUUUUAUUCCAUUUGCUGCGCUGGACCCUCUGGGGCAUAGACGUCGAUGACUCUGGAUCCGAUGGAUGGACGAGUGGAUGGAUGGAUGGGACCGAUGGUGGGAUGGGAUUGGAUGGGAUGGGGCAGAUUGGACCACUCCAGUCCAGUAUAAACGCGGUAGCCACUCACGAGUAUCGCCAUCGAAGUGCAUUGCGCUGUUAUUUUAACGAUUAUGCUGAUGAGCAGCGAUGGCCAGCGAUGGCGACGCGGGCGAUGAUCCAUCAGAGUUCUGGACAUGGAAAUGCAAUUUGUGUAAUUUAUGCCGAUGCUCAGCGAACGCAACCAGAUACCCAAUGUGUGUGCCUCCGAUUAGCCAGGCGAUCCGCCAGAUACAAAAUGUUCGGCUAUCAGAGAUUCAAAGAGCCACAUCCAGAGCUACGGCCAAAACCACUUGACUACCACGUUCGGACUCCACCUGAAUGCGAUCCCCGCUUUUGAUUUAUGAUUUCAACAACACACAAAAUUAAAAGCCUUUCGGGUUUAGCCUUUCUGGGAUGCUGUCUGUGUGUCUGGGCCUGACCUGCAGCAAAUGUUGUCAUCGGAGUUCGUCCAUCCAGAGGGCACAUCAAUCAGCUUAUCAUAUCACUCGGGCUGAGUAGACAGUUUAAAUGUCAAUUAGAGGUAGGGCUAGUCUAGCUGCGGAUCAUUAAAUAUAAAUUAUGAGGGUCUUGAACUGGUCCGAAGCUAUAAGCCAGUAAGACGGUAGCUGGUAGCUGGCUGCCCAAAGGCAGAGACAACUUUUCGGAAAAUCUCCGGGAGAAUCAAUCAGAAUUAUGGAAAAAAUAAUAUGAAAUUGGAAACGUAAAAAUUGGCAAAAGUAUCCACAUAUGUAUAUUUUGUGUGCUAUGACACGUAACUUGGAGUGGCCUUUCGUCCCAUCGCAGAGCGGAAUUUACAAUUUGGCAAUAUUUUUGCUUUAUGAGUGCAUCAACGAUACAUGCGGGCAGGAAGGACCUUCGACUGAGUUGUGUUGACUCGGCGACAAAUCGCUGCCAACUCGAGCGUCCCGGCCAAAAAGCAAAUCAGAGCAGUAAAAUCUCAACUGCAGCGAAGAGUGAGCGAGGGCAGGCAAUAGCAUUUCAUUGACGUUAAUAAAUGACCGGAAGGACAUUGUAUGGCAUGCCAUGGCGUGGCAAUAAACAAACAAAAGCUGAAAAGAAGGACUGGCCAGAGGAGCUCUGACCUGUUCGCCACUGUCCUGUUCAGUUUUCGAAUCCUAUAGUCCUGUAGUCCUGGAGUCAUGCUCAUGGACCAGGUCCUGUUGCAUUUUUGGCCAGCCGGAAGUUUACUGCAGCGUCUGGCACCCUUUUCUCCUUUUCUGUUUGUUGUUCACUCCCGGAUUGUUCCUUUUUUGUUGCCUUUUGCCGCUGCUAAAAUUUCAUUUCGUUACGAAUUUUUCACAAGAUGGUCGGUGGAAGGAAGACAAGCAGAUGCUUCUUAGGUGUGGGAACCAAAAUCGCCUUUUCUUGGCUGGCAAAAAUCAAUCGCAGUUAGUCGGAAGUACUUGCGCACUUUGCGCUGAACAUUUUGCACAGUGAUUAAUUGCCUUCCUUGUUAGUGCGAGGAUACAGUAAGAAGGAAAU